CGUAAAGAUGACUAUUUGCAU
rnacentral:siRNA from 1 species